rnacentral:rRNA from 1 species
GACGAACCGAGCGAACGUUGUUCGGAAUCACUGGGCUUAAAGGGCGCGUAGGCGGGCUGCCAAGUUUGGGGUGAAAUCCUCCGGCUCAACCGGGGAAGUGCCUCGAAUACUGGCGGUCUGGAGGGAGGUAGGGGCGUGCGGAACUGUGGGUGGAGCGGUGAAAUGCGUUGAUAUCCACAGGAACUCCGGUGGCGAAGGCGGCACGCUGGACCUUUUCUGACGCUGAGGCGCGAAAGCCAGGGGAGCAAACAGG